rnacentral:sRNA from 1 species
UUAGAGGAAGUAAAAGUGGUAACAAGGUUUCCGUAGGUGAACCUGGGGAAGGAUCAUUAUUGAAUAAACUUGAACAGGCUGUUUUUGGUCUCUUGGGACAUUGUGCACGCUUGUCAUCUUUAUCAUUUCUCCAACUGUGCACGUAUUUUGUAGACCUUGGAGGGGGGAAUGGAAUUUGUUCCGAGUGGGGACUGCCGGCCCCCCCAAAAAAAAAAAGAGGUCGGCUUUCCCUUUGAAAGGUCUAUGUCAUUUUUUUCACAACCAAUAUGUCUAGAAUGUUGAAAUACAUAAAAGUUAUAAAAAACAACUUUCAGCAACGGAUCUCUUGGCUCUCGCAUCGAUGAAGAACGCAGCGAAAUGCGAUAAGUAAUGUGAAUUGCAGAAUUCAGUGAAUCAUCGAAUCUUUGAACGCAUCUUGCGCUCCUUGGUAUUCCGAGGAGCAUGCCUGUUUGAGUGUCAUUUUGAACUCUCAAAGCCCCACAUCUUGAUGUGGCUUUGGACUUGGGGGCUUUUGCAGGCUUUUUAAUAAAAGGCCUGCUCUCCUGAAAUUCAUUAGUGGUACCUGGAGCGGAAACCGCUAGGUGUUGAUAACAUUCAUCUAUGCCUUUGGUAUGCCGCACAAAUGGGCUGCUUCGAAACUGCACAUGCUCUUGACAAACUGACC